UACGUAGGGGGCAAGCGUUGUCCGGAUUUAUUGGGCGUAAAGAGCGUGUAGGCGGCCAGGUAGGUCUGCUGUGAAAACUCGAGGCUCAACCUCGAGACGUCGGCGGAAACCAUCUGGCUAGAGUCCGGAAGAGGAGAGUGGAAUUCCUGGUGUAGCGGUGAAAUGCGCAGAUAUCAGGAAGAACACCCGUGGCGAAGGCGGCUCUCUGGGACGGGACUGACGCUGAGACGCGAAAGCGUGGGGAGCGAACAGG
rnacentral:rRNA from 1 species